GACGAACGCUGGCGGCGUGCUUAACACAUGCAAGUCGAACGGAAAGGCCUAGCUUGCUGGGUACUCGAGUGGCGAACGGGUGAGUAACACGUGGGUGAUCUGCCCCUGACUUUGGGAUAAGCCUGGGAAACUGGGUCUAAUACCGGAUAUUCAUUUUUCCUCGCAUGGGGAUUUGUGGAAAGCUUUUGCGGUUGGGGAUGGGCCCGCGGCCUAUCAGCUUGUUGGUGGGGUAAUGGCCUACCAAGGCGACGACGGGUAGCCGACCUGAGAGGGUGAUCGGCCACACUGGGACUGAGAGACGGCCCAGACUCCUACGGGAGGCAGCAGUGGGGAAUAUUGCACAAUGGGCGCAAGCCUGAUGCAGCGACGCCGCGUGAGGGAUGACGGCCUUCGGGUUGUAAACCUCUUUCAGCUCCGACGAAGCGCAAGUGGCGGUAGGAGCAGAAGAAGCACCGGCCAACUACGUG
rnacentral:rRNA from 1 species